ACAUUUCUGUUGUCGUAAGAGAUAUGACAGUUUGUGUUGUGCCAUUUUUCAUUUCAAUUAGUGUAUCGAUUUAUUUCAUCGAAAGGAAAGGUCUACAAAAAGCUUGAAUCUUUAAGAUAAUCGGCUGUGCCAAGUGAUGAUUUUCAUAUCACUGAAAGAGAAUCAGCAUCCUGGUUGUCCUUCCAAGAGGUUAAUCCUGCGCCGCUACUCUAUGGGCUGAAUUCCUUGUUGGAAACUGACGAGAGAUUAGAGACGACUGAAUGACGGGCUGUCAUUCAGCAAUACUGCUCACAUGCGUGCCGUCCUUUCUUCGCUCUGAGGUCCUUCCGUCGCCGCAUGGUGCCUGCUCCAGCUACGGGGCCAGCAUCAUUCGACUACCCAACCGACGGCCUGGGCUUUCGACAUUCGAAUACCCCCAACUUGUUUGGCUUAAGAAAAUAUCUCUUGUAUCUUUCCUGCCUUCCUUUAUAUCAAUUUUUCUUUAAAAUUAAUUUCUCCUUUUUCUCAUAGGACUUAUUGUCAUCCAAAAAAUGUUCAUUCUGCUUACAGGGUAAUCCUACCAGUAAUCCUUCGAUACUUGUCAUGGACUUUAUCCAGUGGUGAAAAUCAACAAGAGAAUGCUGUAAUUCAAGAGUGAUAAAUUGUGUAGUUAGCUAAAUUACAAGUGCAUAUCUGGGCUUCCUUCUUUUCUAUGGCCCCGUUUCCCUAACUAACCACUAACCAACG